rnacentral:rRNA from 1 species
UUGACCUCGGAUCAGGUAGGGAUACCCGCUGAACUUAAGCAUAUCAAUAAGCGGAGGAAGGAA